UGCGCAGGCGGGCUUGUAAGUCAGUGGUGAAAUUCUGCCGCUUAACGGUAGAACUGCCAUUGAUACUGCAAGUCUUGAAUAUGGUUGAGGUAGGCGGAAUGUGUUGUGUAGCGGUGAAAUGCAUAGAUAUGACACAGAACGCCAAUUGCGAAGGCAGCUUACUAAGCCAUUAUUGACGCUGAGGCACGAAAGCGUGGGGAGCGAACAGGAUUAGAAACCCUGGUAGUCC
rnacentral:rRNA from 1 species